rnacentral:lncRNA from 13 species
GCCUUCGUGGUGCUGAGCCCUCUGGCAGGAAUUUUCUAUGUAUCAUCUCUCAUAGGAGCGCUGUGCAGUUCAUACCAAUAUUACCCCCAAUUCACAAGCCGAAACAGAUUCUGUGGGGUUGGGUAACUCACCCAAGAUCAAGUGUGGGAAGUGACCAGGUCUGCCUGCACUUACAUCCAUGCAACUGACCACUGUGCCCUCUGCCUCUCUUCCCAGAUGUGCCAGGCCUGGCUGCGACCCCCUCCUUGGCUGAGUCAUUUCUUGUUGUCACCACUGCAGUGGGAUGGGGUCCUCCAGGCCUUUCCCACUACUCCUCCUCUCUGACCUUGGCUGAAAAGGUCUCUGGUGGAAGAGGGAGAUGCCUUGGGAAGGCCCCUUCCCAAGUCACACUUGGACUCUCAUUCUCUGCAGAUGCCAUCAAGAUGUGUGGGAACCACUGGUGGGGUUGGCCAAACUCAAGUCUAACAGGAGAAGUUUUAGGGAUGACUUCUGCGCCCUUCCAUUCCAAGUUGUCCAUGGAAAUGCACGGGAACAAAUCACAGGCUGCAGCCAAGCUCCCCUUUGAUGUGACCGUUAACUGUGACCUUCCAGACAUUCGCUAAAACAUCGUCACCCUGAAACAGGGAGACGGCCGAAUGUGUUGCCUGGAGCUGAAGCAGCCAUCCUGUGACCAUGAGGGAGACGCCAAGAGAGAACUCAGAGCUUCUGGUCCGACAGGACUGAGCCGCCCCUCCCCGCUGGUCGCCGCCUCCCUCCAGAACGCUGAGGGGGGCAUCGUGUGAAAGAUCCUGUUGCUUUAAGCUGUUUUUUUUUUUAAAAAUGUCACUUCCAAAAAAAAAAAAAAAAAAAAGCUUUUCUAAAUAAUAUGCACGUUGAAAGGCUUUCAGAGAAACACAACCAGCCCGCCAGACCCUUGUCUGUUUGCUUUCUGGUUUUUCUUUAUAGCUUUUACCUCACCUCUUUCCUGAAAAAGAACCCGAAGCCUAAAGUUGAGCGGGGGUUUUCUUGUUGACCUUACAGUGGUGCUUCUGGUACCACUGUUUUCAUGUAGCCUUAAAGUGGCCACAGAGAGUGAAUUGCA